AGUGAACGCUGGCGGUAGGCCUAACACAUGCAAGUCGAACGGCAGCACAGUAAGAGCUUGCUCUUACGGGUGGCGAGUGGCGGACGGGUGAGGAAUACAUCAGAAUCUACUUUUUCGUGGGGGAUAACGUAGGGAAACUUACGCUAAUACCGCAUACGACCUACGGGUGAAAGCAGGGGAUCUUCGGACCUUGCGCGAUUGAAUGAGCCGAUGUCGGAUUAGCUAGUUGGCGGGGUAAAGGCCCACCAAGGCGACGAUCCGUAGCUGGUCUGAGAGGAUGAUCAGCCACACUGGAACUGAGACACGGUCCAGACUCCUACGGGAGGCAGCAGUGGGGAAUAUUGGACAAUGGGCGCAAGCCUGAUCCAGCCAUACCGCGUGGGUGAAGAAGGCCUUCGGGUUGUAAAGCCCUUUUGUUGGGAAAGAAAAGCAGCAGGUUAAUACCCCGCUGUUCUGACGGUACCCAAAGAAUAAGCACCGGCUAACUUCGU
rnacentral:rRNA from 1 species